UUUUGCAGAACAGAAGUCAUUAAUUUUAACAUCAUCAAGCUGAUCAGUUAUUUCUUUCAUGGAACAUGCCUUUGGUGCUUUAUCUAAAAAUUAUCAUCAUACACAAGGACAUCUAGAUUUUCUCCUAUAAGUUUUAUAGCUUUAUAUUUCAUAUUUAGGUCUAUGAUCCAUAUUGAGUUAAUUUGUGUGAAGGUUGUAAAGUCGGUGUGUAGAUUCAUUUCUUUGCAUGUGAAUGUUCAGCUGUUUCAGCAGAAUUUAUUAAAAGGACAAUCUUUGCUCCAUUGAAUUGCCUUUGCUCCUUUUUCAAAGAUCAGUUGACUAUAUUUAUGUGGGUCUAUUUCUGGGCUCUCUGUUCUGUUCUAUUUAUCCUGCUUAGAGUUCUCUGAGCUUCCUGGAUGUGCAGUUUGGUAUCUGACUUAAUUUGGAGUAAAUUCUCAGUUAUUAUUGCUUCAAAUAUUUCUUCUGUUCCUUUUUCUCUUUCUUCUUAUUCUGGUAUUCCCAUAAGGCAUAAGUUAUACCUUUUAUAGUUGCCCCACAGGUCUUGGAUAGUCUGUUCUGGCUUUUUUGUUCUGUUUUGUCUUGUUUUCUUGGCUUUUUUCCCUUUGACCUUCCAUUUUGGAAGCUUCUAUUGACAUAUCCUCAAGCCCAGAGAUUCUUUUCCUCAGCCAUGUCUAGUCUACUAAUGAGUCCAUCAAAAGCAUUCUUCACAUCUGUUACAGUGUUUUGAUCUCUAGCAUUUCUAUUUUUUUUCUUAGAAUUUCCAUUACCCAUCUGUCUUUGCAGGUUGUGUAUUUUAUCCAUUAAUGCUCUUAGCAUAAUACUCAUAGUUGUUUUAUAUUCUCCAUCUGAUAAUGCCAACAUCCCUGCUACAUCCACGCCUGGUUCUAAUGCUUGCUCUGUUCUUCAAACUGUUUUUUUUUCUUUUUUGCUCUUUAAUCUUUUUUUAAUAGCCAGACAUGGCAUACUGGGUAAGAGGAUCUGUUGUAAAUUGGUCUUUGGCCAUGUAGUGGUAAGGUGGGGGAAGUGGAAGAAUUUUUUCGUCCUAUGAUUAGGUCUCAGUCUUUUAGUGAGCCUGUGCCACUGAACUGUGAACUGCACAAGUAUUUCUCUCACUUUAGCGGGGAUAGGAUGACUAAAGGACACUGAGGCUGAGUAUGUUCCUUCAACCAGGUAGGUUAGAGUUUGGUAAAACCCAGCAGGUUAGGCUCUGUAAAAUAUAUUCUCCCAAGGAUAAGUCUUAUUAAGAAAAACAGAAUGCCCUGGCAUAUGUCAAAAUGAUUCCUUUUCCCCAUCCCUUGCCAGAAGCACAAAGGAAUUUUUCUCCAAUAUUCACUAUGAGAACCUGGUUGAGCUCCUGGAGGUAAAACUCACCAAAAUGUGCCCCUCCCACAAUGCCCUGGAGUUUUCAACUCUCAUCCUUGUCCAUACUGAGCCUCCAGGAUUUGUCAAUUACGGUUUUAAGGUUUCCCUAGUAAAUACUAGUUCUGGAGAAGUUUGCUCCUGGGUUUCUCCCUGUCGGUCAUUCCAAUUUUGGGGGUAGUGGUUUGUCCUGUAAUCCCAUUCUCUAACAAAUCUAUGAAGGGUUGCUGACUUUUCAGUUUCUCAGCUUUUUACUUACUGUAAGGACAGAGUGAAAACUUCCAAACUCCUCAGAUGCCAGACAGAAAAUCCUUCUACUGUUUUUACUGUGAUUUUACCUACAGAUUUGACGUCAUACAUUCCCACUUGUGUGUAGCCCACACAUUUUCUCCAAAUUAACCUAGAAUUGCCAUUGCCACUUCCAGAAUUUGACCAAAAAAAUUAUCUAAAUAUGCUUUCUGGUUAUAGUAAUUGUCAUGGGAAUACUAUGACUAAGAGAAAAACGCUACAAAUAUGGGAUUCAUUUUGUUCACAGAGAGUUAUCAAUGUGAGGGAAAAGAGCAAUGUAUUUAAAAGCUGUCUCUUCUUGUUCACAGGUACUAAAUACUGUCCAUCUCUUUAAACAUUUUACCUCUCUACGGGCCCCAUGCACAUGAAGAGACAAGAAACCAGUGAAUAAUUACACAGUAAAAUGUACUUUGCCAACUAAAAACAAGAGGGUGGGAAAAGGCAGAAGAGAGAAGAGAAGUAGAGAAAAGGGUCAGAGAAGUUCAACGCUACAGUGAAUGAAGAAAUGUGCAAUUCUAGUAUCUAAGGCUAAUACUCUAAUGUUUUUUGUUGUUGUUUUCUUGUUUUGUUUUGAUUUCAAUAUUCUUUGAGAUGAAGAAAAUAAGAUUUUUGCUUUUACAUAAUAUUGUAGUAUUGUUUUUGUUUUUUCUAUUCACUGUCUGCUAUGGUUUGAAUAUUUGUGCCUCCCCCAAACUCAUAUAUUGAAAUCCUAACCUCCCAAUGUGAUGGUAUUAGGAGGCGGGUCCUUGGGAGAUGAUUAGCUUAGGAGAACAAGGCACUCUCUAAUAGGUUUAGUGCCUUAAAAAAGAAAAGUGCUCUCUUCUACCAUGAGAGAUUAUGGUGAAAAAACCAUCAGAAAGAAGGCCCUCCCCAGAACUCGACUGUGCUGGCAGCCUAAUCUUGGCUUUCCAACACUGAGAACUGUAUGAAAUAAAUUUCUAUUGUUCAUAA
rnacentral:lncRNA from 10 species